UACGGGGGGGGCAAGCGUUGUUCGGAAUUACUGGGCGUAAAGGGCUCGUAGGUGGCCAACUAAGUCAGACGUGAAAUCCCUCGGCUUAACCGGGGAACUGCGUCUGAUACUGGUUGGCUUGAGUUUGGGAGAGGGAUGCGGAAUUCCAGGUGUAACGGUGAAAUGCGUAGAUAUCUGGAGGAACACCGGUGGCGAAGGCGGCAUCCUGGACCAACACUGACGCUGAGGAGCGAAAGCCAGGGGAGCAAACGGG
rnacentral:rRNA from 1 species